AACGAACGCUGGCGGCAGGCUUAACACAUGCAAGUCGAGCGCCCCGCAAGGGGAGCGGCAGACGGGUGAGUAACACGUGGGAACGUGCCCAAAGGUACGGAACAACUCCGGGAAACUGGAGCUAAUACCGUAUGUGCCCUUCGGGGGAAAGAUUUAUCGGUGAAGGAUUAGCCCGCGUCUGAUUAGCUAGUUGGUGAGGUAACGGCUCACCAAGGCGACGAUCAGUAGCUGGUCUGAGAGGAUGAUCAGCCACACUGGGACUGAGACACGGCCCAGACUCCUACGGGAGGCAGCAGUGAGGAAUAUUGGACAAUGGGGGGCAACCCUGAUCCAGCCAUGCCGCGUGAGUGACGAAGGCCUUCGGGUUGUAAAGCUCUUUCAAUUGUGAAGAUAAUGACGGUAGCAAUAGAAGAAGCUCCGGCUAAACUCGUGCCAGCAGCCGCGGUAAAAC
rnacentral:rRNA from 1 species